rnacentral:rRNA from 1 species
ACGAGAAGACCCUAUAAAUCUUUAUAUUUAGAUCAUUAUAAUUUUAUAGAUUUUUUUUGUUAUAAUAAUCAAUGAUAUUUUAUUGGGGUGAUAUUAAAAUUUAAUAAACUUUUAAUUGUUAAAAUCAUUAAUUUAUGAAUAAUUGAUCCGUUAUUAGCGAUUAAAAAAAUAAGUUACUUUAGGGAUAACAGCGUAAUUUUUUUGGAGAGUUCAUAUCGAAAAAAAGAUUGCGACCUCGAUGUUGGAUUAA